rnacentral:tRNA from 1 species
AGUUAUAUAGUUUAAUAAAAAUUUUAAUUUUGUAAAUUAAAGAUAAUUUUUUUUAUAACUU